rnacentral:rRNA from 1 species
GUGGGGAAUAUUGGACAAUGGGCGAAAGCCUGAUCCAGCCAUGCCGCGUGUGUGAAGAAGGUCUUCGGAUUGUAAAGCACUUUAAGUUGGGAGGAAGGGCAGUAAGUUAAUACCUUGCUGUUUUGACGUUACCGACAGAAUAAGCACCGGCUAACUUCGUGCCAGCAGCCGCGGUAAUACGAAGGGUGCAAGCGUUAAUCGGAAUUACUGGGCGUAAAGCGCGCGUAGGUGGUUUUGUAAGUUGGAGGUGAAAUACCCGGGCUCAACCUGGGAACUGCCUCCAAAAGUGCAGGACUAGAGUACGGUAGAGGGUAGUGGAAUUUCCUGUGUAGCGGUGAAAUGCGUAGAUAUAGGAAGGAACACCAGUGGCGAAGGCGACUACCUGGACUGAUACUGACACUGAGGUGCGAAAGCGUGGGGAGCAAACAGGAUUAGAAACCCCGGUAGUCC